UGCCUCCACAACUUCUCCAAAUUCAUUCCUUCCUUCCUUCAGAGUUCAGAAAGCUCAACAUAACCAAAGAAAAAGUGAAAACUCUCUACCGCCGAACGGAGUGAGCCAUUGCCACCGUCUGUUGCAGUAUCGGGCUUCUCUCUUUGUCCUAUGGGCAUUCUCCAAGUCCAACCCUGUUCGCUCUCACUAGUUGCAGAUGCACAACUUCUUCCUCAAGCUCGGCGUUUGUCGUCUUCGUCUGCUCACCGUCCAGCUCGUCAUCAUCUAAUCGCCGUCGUUCGUCGCGCUCAACCGCUCUCCAUUGUGCUCAACCGCUCUCGAAGCUUUGGCUCAAACCAAGCUUUUUCCCCCCAAAACAAACCUUAGAUGACAGUAGCCUCCCCCCACCGCAAGGAGGAAACUCACUGCCAUCGUCUGUCGCGCUUAGCCACCACCGUCGUCGACCGGUCAUCCAUGCUUCUUCCUUAUUCGCCAAUCACACCUUCUUCCUCAAGCUUGACGUUAGUCCUUAUCUUCGUCUGCUCUGUCACACUCCUGCUGCCGUCCGUCACGCUCAGGCACCACCGUCUUUGUUUCGUCCUCGUGCUCAAAGUCUUCAACCCACCAAUCGGAAUCAAGGUUUAGGAUUUUGCUAGUGCUAUUUAUAUUGGUUUCUUUGGUUUUUUUUCUAAUUUUUAAUUCUUGGUUCUUUGUUCUUCGGUUAGGAUUCUUUGUUCUUGAUUCUGCUUAUGCUAGUGCUACUCAAAGUGAAUUGUUGAAUGAUUAGCUUUGCUUACUAUUGUUGUGCUGUGUUGUACUCUAUUUUGUUGCUUUUUGUUUGUGCUGUGCUGAAAAAAAUUGCACUGAAAUCCUAAAACCUUGAAAUCUUUCUUGUUAA